GUCUUUGUUAGAUAGUAUAGUGGAUAAUGAACAGAGCAGGAAACGAAGUAGUAGGGAGAAACACAGAAAGAGAAAGUGCACCACGAGGCUUUGCACUCUGAUCACUCCGAACUCGGAAACACAAUUGCGCUGCGUGACGGAGCGAUGAACAUGAGGCUAUCGGGCACUCCUUAUAAUAUGUCUACACUUCAUGGAUAAUGGAAACUAGCACCGUGAACUAUACCGGCUUUGAAAGACAUAAGGCCAAGACGAGCAGGACCCCAAACGGCAAAAGGGUACACAGGACGACGUCGACAACCACCACGAAAUCCACCCGUCAAAGAUCCAGCCGCUCCGUCCAAAGCAACUGCGCUGCAAACAUCGGCAGAUGCCGAAAUUGGUCAAUGGCUAAAAGAACAUAAUCGUGAAAGAAGUUCAAAAGUCUAUGCUGGAGAUACAGAGGACACCUC